UUAAAGGGGACGGUAUUCUACCUUAUGACGAACGAUCAGAUUAGAGAGAGUCACGUUCGAAAUGACAUGAGGCUAAAUUGGAUCCAGUAAUGUUUGAAGUGAUAUGAGGCUGGUUGGAUCGAGUCAUAAUAGAGAUCUGUAGGUAUUAUAUUUGUACGUUCUAAGUGAAAUUGGAAUUCAUGGUUAAUGCUAAUUAUUAACAUCCGACAAGUGGUAUCAAACUUUCAGGGGCCAGCAUCCUGCCUGUGACGGGAUGUCAGAUUGAGCCACGCGAGUCAUGUUCAAAGUGACGUGAGACUGGUUGAGCCGAGUCACAGUUGACACCCGUAGACGCUGUUUCUGUACGCUUUAAGUAUAUUAGUUGCGUAUUUCUAACAGCUUUGGUUUUUGGAGUUAAUAUAUAGAUAACACCACCAAUCUGACAAGCGAUAUUAGAUACAGAGGUCAUGGGUUCGAUUCAUGCAUGCUGACGUUGUGUCUAUACCAUUUAAGUAACCAACUCGAGUUUUUAAAAUUAAUGAUUAGCACUAACGAACCGAUAAUACACAACUAUUUUGAUAUUCAAA
rnacentral:lncRNA from 1 species